rnacentral:rRNA from 1 species
CGCGGCAAGACGGAAAGACCCCGUGAACCUUUACUAUAGCUUGACACUGAACAUUGAGCCUUGAUGUGUAGGAUAGGUGGGAGGCUUUGAAGUGUGGACGCCAGUCUGCAUGGAGCCGACCUUGAAAUACCACCCUUUAAUGUUUGAUGUUCUAACGUGGAUCCGUAAUCCGGGUUGCGGACAGUGUCUGGUGGGUAGUUUGACUGGGGCGGUCUCCUCCUAAAGAGUAACGGAGGAGCACGAAGGUUGGCUAAUCCUGGUCGGACAUCAGGAGGUUAGUGCAAUGGCAUAAGCCAGCUUGACUGCGAGCGUGACGGCGCGAGCAGGUGCGAAAGCAGGUCAUAGUGAUCCGGUGGUUCUGAAUGGAAGGGCCAUCGCUCAACGGAUAAAAGGUACUCCGGGGAUAACAGGCUGAUACCGCCCAAGAGUUCAUAUCGACGGCGGUGUUUGGCACCUCGAUGUCGGCUCAUCACAUCCUGGGGCUGAAGUAGGUCCCAAGGGUAUGGCUGUUCGCCAUUUAAAGUGGUACGCGAGCUGGGUUUAGAACGUCGUGAGACAGUUCGGUCCCUAUCUGCCGUGGGCGCUGGAGAACUGAGGGGGGCUGCUCCUAGUACGAGAGGACCGGAGUGGACGCAUCACUGGUGUUCGGGUUGUCAUGCCAAUGGCACUGCCCGGUAGCUAAAUGCGGAAGAGAUAAGUGCUGAAAGCAUCUAAGCACGAAACUUGCCCCGA